rnacentral:lncRNA from 1 species
UACCAAACAGAUAUCUAGAAACCUCCUCCACCACCACCACCACCACCACCGCAACCUCCUCCUCCACCACAGCCGCCUCCACCGCCAGACGCUCCAGCAUAUGGUCUAUGUUUCCUCUCAUUUUUUUAGAUUUUUUUUUCACCGUUUCAAACAAAUACGGCCAUGGCUAUUACGGAGAUGGUGGCUGCAACCGCCAAUAUUCCCCAAACUAAACCAAAGCCACUGGUUGGACUUGGAACGUCGGUCAAUAUGCUGCUCGCCAUAUUCUCUUGUGUGUAUUUUGGUUAAGUUUGAGAUUUUGAUUCGGUUUUAAUUUGUGUAUAAAAAGCAUUAUUUGUAGGUAAUUCUUUGAAUGGACAAUGUUGGCUUACCGCUUACGUUACGUGUGUCG